AUCUUUGCGCUUGGGGCA
rnacentral:siRNA from 1 species